rnacentral:sRNA from 1 species
CGGAGUUUACAACUCCCAAACCCAUGUGAACAUACCUACUGUUGCUUCGGCGGGAUUGCCCCGGGCGCCUCGUGUGCCCCGGAUCAGGCGCCCGCCUAGGAAACUUAACUCUUGUUUUAUUUUGGAAUCUUCUGAGUAGUUUUUACAAAUAAAUAAAAACUUUCAACAACGGAUCUCUUGGUUCUGGCAUCGAUGAAGAACGCAGCGAAAUGCGAUAAGUAAUGUGAAUUGCAGAAUUCAGUGAAUCAUCGAAUCUUUGAACGCACAUUGCGCCCGCCAGUAUUCUGGCGGGCAUGCCUGUCUGAGCGUCAUUUCAACCCUCAUGCCCCUAGGGCGUGGUGUUGGGGAUCGGCCAAAGCCCGCGAGGGACGGCCGGCCCCUAAAUCUAGUGGCGGACCCGUCGUGGCCUCCUCUGCGAAGUAGUGAUAUUCCGCAUCGGAGAGCGACGAGCCCCUGCCGUUAAACCCCCAACUUUCCAAGGUUGACCUCAGAUCAGGUAGGAAU